UGUGUCACUGACUCACUAGGUGUCCUCAUUUUGCAAAGACGAGCUCUCUCUCUCUCUCGCGCCCGCGCGCUUCAUCUCCGACUUUCUCAACUUUAACACACUUUUCAAUUCUGUCUCCCAGUCUCUCAGGCUCUCAGUUUCGAAUAAUUACUCUCCAAACGAAAGUAGGGGAAUACCUGUACCAGCACAUUUUCCGUCUAAUUUCAAGCAUUUUUCUCUCUUUUCCCAGGGGUUGUUUAAGGGUCAACAAAACUGCGGCUUUAUCCACUGGAUUGCAAAGCUUGCUAUAUACUAAAUUUCCAUGGCUUGGUCGGAAGGUGUUAAGGAAUGUCGUCUCCUUAUUGCAUCUGAUCCUGGGGCAACAGGAAAUGGUGUUGGAAGAUUUUUAUCGCUACGCCAUCCAAAGUCAGGAAAGACUGCUUGCUAUCUCUUCAUCAGCGGGCUGCUUCAAGAACUUCAUUGGUUUAAGCAAUCCUAUGGAUCUUGGUUUGUGGGGGAUUAUGUUUGUGAAGAUGGCCGCCUAUAUACUGCAACUCCAGUUGAUCCUGUUUUCAUUAUGCUCCCCAUUUUUGAGGAAGCUAGAAUGAAGAAGGAAGAUGAUCCCGGGAAGUUCAGGCAAUUAGAUGAGAUAAUCUUCAUUCAUGACUAUCCUGGCUAUCAACAUUUACUGUCUAUUGCAGAGAAUUCAAUGCAAGUAGUUUGUGAAAUCAAAGAAAUUGGAUCGUCAAAAUUCUUUAGGCUUGAUGACUCAAAGGUUCUAGCAUGGUUAUAUCACAAGGUAUGUGAGCUAAAAGAGACACUUUCGGUAUUGGACAAAAACUAUGCUGCACAACAAGAGAAGGAUACACUAGCUGAUGCAGUUUCAAUAUUGGGGGAGUAUGUGAAGGAUGAGCCUUGGUUGAAUCUCCUGUGUAACCAUCUAAAGUUAAAUUUAGUUGAGGCAACUAGAGAAGCUCUAGAGGUUGAGAACCUAUCACCUGCUUCAGGAAGCCACCUAGAUUUUCAGAGCAAAUCACAGUUUCUGCAGGAAGGCGCCAGCAAACAAAGCUGGUAAUUUCUCUUGGUAUCGUGCCAGAGACUUUGGAUUGAACCAUGCCUUCACUAUGUUGUAGCUUUUAGGCAGCAAGAAAACUGUCCCGUGUAUAGCCUAGCCGUUGGAUCAAAAGCCAACAAAUUAAAAGAAAGAAGUUUCUUUGGGAAGGGGAAAGGGAAGUGACCAAAAGAGCACAAAAACUGGAAAGCCAGCUAAAAAGGCGAAAGUGGAGACAGAAUCCAGGAACAUCAAAGAAAUGUUUUCCAGAGCGUCACGAAGGAGAAACUGAAUCUCUGAAACCAAACACAAAGGAGUAAAUUCUUGUCACUAUGAUCAAACUGCCCUCGGAAUACAAUCAUUGCCUGGCGCUAGCGCAUUGGCUUUUGACUCGCAUGCUUUGUAACAAUAUUUCUUUAAGGUAAUUCCGUUACUUUGAGACGCAGUUUUGGCAAAUGCGAAGUUAUUGACCUUGUUAAUUUAUCCUAAAGGACUGUGAUGCCACACAAAAUAUAGCUGUUUGGAUUGGGAUA